rnacentral:rRNA from 1 species
AUGGCCACCGCCGUCGCCGCACUGCCCUCGGGCUACUUCGGCUCCGUCCAGGGCCGGCCCACGCGCCUCGCUCCGGCAGCCAGCGGACGUAACAGUCUGCUCCUCCGCUGCUCCGCGUCGGGUGGUGAUGGCGCUGGCGGCCCCGACCCGGUCCUCGAGGAGCAAAAGCGGCGCCGAGACGAGCUCUCCGCUCGCGCUUCCUCUGGCGAGUUCACCGAUCAAGGCGCUGGAUGGCUCGCCAAGCUGGGCCCGCCAGGGGCGCUCGCGGCUGGGCUCCUCAAGGUGGCAGGCGUCGGCGCGGCGCGCAGGGGCCCGGAGCUGCCGCAGGUGGCGGGGUCGCUGGCGGCCGGGGACGCCAUCUUCCUGCCGCUAUACGACCACUUCCUCACCCACGGCGGCGUCUUUCGCCUCAACCUCGGGCCCAAGUCUUUUGUCAUCGUCUCUGAUCCAGAUAUAGCCAAGCAUAUCCUGAGGGACAACUCCAAGGCUUAUUCCAAGGGUAUUCUUGCGGAAAUACUGGAGUUUGUGAUGGGCACAGGUCUGAUCCCAGCUGAUGGGGAGGUUUGGCGUGUUCGACGGCGUGCCAUUGUACCGUCAUUGCAUCAGAAGUUUGUAACAGAGAUGAUAGGUCUCUUUGGAAAAGCUUCAGGCCGGCUGUGCGAGAAGUUGGACAAGGCAGCGGCGGAGGGAGAGGCUGUGGAGAUGGAAUCUUUGUUCUCCCGACUAACAUUGGAUGUCAUUGGGAAGGCAGUGUUCAAUUAUGAUUUUGAUUCAUUAUCUUACGAUAAUGGAAUGGUUGAGGCUGUGUAUGUAACACUACGAGAAGCAGAAAUGCGGAGCACUGCUCCUAUUCCAACUUGGAAAAUACCCAUAUGGAAAGACGUCUCCCCUCGACAGAGGAAGGUUAAUGAAGCCCUUGUGCUGAUAAAUAAUAUUCUUGAUGAACUAAUUUCUACAUGCAAGAGGAUGGUAGAUGAAGAAGAUCUGCAGUUUCAUGAGGAAUAUAUGAAUGAGGAAGAUCCUAGUAUUCUUCGCUUUCUAUUGGCAUCCGGAGAAGAUGUGUCCAGCAAGCAGCUUCGUGAUGAUCUGAUGACAAUGCUCAUAGCUGGCCAUGAGACCUCUGCAGCAGUCCUAACAUGGACAUUUUAUCUUCUAUCCAAGUACCCAAAAGUAAUGUCCAAGCUCCAGGCUGAGGUUGAUGAUGUUCUAGGAGAUGGUUUACCUACAAUUGAAGAUGUGAAGAAACUAAACUAUACUACUCGAGUUAUUAACGAAUCUUUGAGACUAUAUCCACAACCGCCAGUUUUAAUUCGUCGGUCCCUUGAGGAUGAUAUGCUAGGGGAGUACCCAAUCGGCAGGGGUGAAGACAUUUUUAUAUCCAUCUGGAAUCUUCAUCGCUGCCCAAAGCACUGGGAUGAUGCAGAUGUUUUUAAUCCGGAAAGGUGGCCUUUGGACGGUCCAAAUCCAAAUGAGACAAACCAAAAAUUCAGUUACUUGCCAUUUGGUGGCGGACCAAGGAAAUGUGUAGGUGAUAUGUUUGCUACUUUUGAGAAUGUGGUGGCAACAGCAAUGCUUGUCAAGCGGUUUGAUUUUCAUAUGGCUCCAGGAGCACCUCCGGUCGAGAUGACAACCGGAGCAACGAUUCACACAACUAAAGGGUUGAACAUGACUGUUAGUCGGAGGACAAAGCCACCUGUAAUUCCAAUUUAG